CUUUGCAUACACGAAAGUGUGACAGGGCUAUCCCGAGUGCCAUCCGCUGAGGAAGGCUUUUACCCAGUCUAGAAAGCUGGGAGAAUAAGGAGAGGGCAAGUCUGGUGUCAGCCGCCGCGGUAAUACCAGCUCUCCGAGUGGUGUGGAUGUUUAUUGGGCCUAAAGCAUCCGUAGCUGGCUGAGUUAGUCCCCUGUUAAAUCCACCGAAUUAAUCGUUGGUGUGCGGGGGAUACUGCUCGGCUAGGGGACGAGAGAGGCCGACGGUAUUUUCGGGGUAGGGGUGAAAUCCUAUAAUCCCGGGAAGACCACCAGUGGCGAAAGCUGUCGGCUAGAACGCGCCCGACGGUGAGGGAUGAAAGCUGGGGGAGCGAACCGGAUUAGAUACCCGGGUAGUCCCAGCUGUAAACGAUGCAGGCUAGGUGUUUGGGCGGCCACGUGCCGCUCUAGUGCCGCAGGGAAGCUGUUAAGCCUGCCGCCUGGGGAGUACGGUCGCAAGAUUGAAACUUAAAGGAAUUGGGGGGGGGAACCACCAA
rnacentral:rRNA from 1 species